AUUGAACGCUGGCGGCAGGCCUAACACAUGCAAGUCGAGCGGAUGACGGGAGCUUGCUCCUUGAUUCAGCGGCGGACGGGUGAGUAAUGCCUAGGAAUCUGCCUGGUAGUGGGGGGCAACGUUUCGAAAGGAACGCUAAUAUCGCAUACGUCCUACGGGAGAAAGCAGGGGACCUUCGGGCCUUGCGCUAUCAGAUGAGCCUAGGUCGGAUUAGCUAGUUGGUGGGGUAAUGGCUCACCAAGGCGACGAUCCGUAACUGGUCUGAGAGGAUGAUCAGUCACACUGGAACUGAGACACGGGCCAGACUCCUACGGGAGGCAGCAGUGGGGAAUAUUGGACAAUGGGCGAAAGCCUGAUCCAGCCAUGCCGCGUGUGUGAAGAAGGUCUUCGGAUUGUAAAGCACUUUAAGUUGGGAGGAAGGGCAGUAAGUUAAUACCUUGCUGUUUUGACGUUACCGACAGAAUAAGCACCGGCUAACUCUGUGCCAGCAGCCGCCGUAA
rnacentral:rRNA from 1 species